rnacentral:rRNA from 1 species
AUUUGUCUGGUUAAUUCCGAUAACGAACGAGACCUUAACCUGCUAACUAGUUUCAAUUACCUUGUAAUUGUUAACUUCUUAGAGGGACUAUGUGAAACAACUACAUGGAAGUUUGAGGCAAUAACAGGUCUGUGAUGCCCUUAUAUGUCCUGGGCUGCACGCGUGCUACACUGAUGCAUACAACAAGUGCCUAGCCAGUCAUGGUAUGGCAAUCUCGAAUAUGCAUCGUGAUGGGGAUAGAUCUUUGCAAUUAUAGAUCUUGAACGAGGAAUUCCUAGUAAGUGCAAGUCAUCAUCUUGCAUUGAUUAUGUCCCCGCCCUUUGUACACACCGCCCGUCGCUCCUACCGAUACCGGGUGAUCCGGUGAACCUUUUGGACCUUUACAGGAAAUUGAAGUAAACCAUAUCACCUAGAGGAAGGAGAAGUCGUAACAAGGUUUCCGUAGGUGAACCUGCRGAAGGAUCA